UCUUAUGGAUCUGCAAAGAAAGUGCUUUCUUGAGGCAGAAACUACUCUUGGUGAAGAUGCUGUGAA
rnacentral:pre_miRNA from 1 species